GAGAGCAGGAGGAGGAGAAGGAGGGGAGAGACAAAGGAGAGAGAGUGAGUGAAGAAAGGAGGAGGUAAGAGAGAGGAGGGAGGGUGAGAGAACAGCAUCAAGGUUAUAGUUAGGACAAGUGUUGGUACAAGGUGGUGUAGAGAUGAGCACUAUGUAAUGUGUCAGCAUAGAUGUGACUGACAUUAUUUUGGCACUUUUUCUGACUGAAUUCAUGCGGUCGACAUUUUCACCAAAAAUAAAAUGAAAAACAAACUCAAAACCCAUAAAAGGUUUUUAAAAAAUACAAUAAAACACACACAUUCACACAAGUAAAGAACAUUUUCCGCUUGACUGUUUAUUUGAUAUGUUUUAAUUGCCAUCUUGUUGUUUUUUAAUGUACCCAGACUGCUCUGGAAGGCAGUACUGAUACUGAGUGGAUUAACAUUGUGAAACAAAGGGAAUUGUUUUUAUCCAUGCUAACAGCCUGGCUCGAGGGAUGGCAGCUAGUCCACCACUUUACAACUACUGGAUGUGUUGCCAUGAAAGUUUGGACCCACAUUCAUGUUCCCCAAAGGAUAAACAGUAACAACCUUGGUGAUCCUGACUCAACUAGUGCCAAAUUCAUAUUUGUAAAUAAGCAAAUGCUGGCAUGCUAACAGGCUAAACUAAGGUGGUGAACAUGGUUGACUUUAUAACUGCUCAACAUGACAUUACUUUCUUUUAUUAGUCCAAUAAAAAUCGUUGUAUUAUUAAAAACAAAAUUAUUACAGUAACAUUUAGCACAUCUCUCACCUCUCUCAGGGAUCGUUUUUGAUGCUUAAUUUUGCAAAAUGGGAUGUAAACAGUUUCAUAUAAUGAGAAAUGUUUCUUUUAAUGUGGAGGCUUAAUGCUACUGAAAGUCUUAAGUCUGCUACAAUCAAUUCUUCAUGGCAAACAACAGAGCCUGAUAACGACUUCCUCCCUGUGCGGAGUAAAUACCACAUGACCAGUGUAACUCAUUAUCUCCUCCUCCUGCUCCCAAACCUGCUUCCACUCAAGCUUUAUAGGCCCUGUGUGUGCCGCGGACAGACAACCAGCUUUUUAACUUGAUCAAUCUUUGAAGCCAACGACUAAAAUCUAUCAAAUGUCCCCCUGGCUCUUUGCAGUUCCUUCUAAUCCACUGCUGGGAGAUCUCUAUCAAGAGUUGCAUCUUUUUUUUGGUGCAAUGUACUCACCACUGCUGGGUGUGGAGGCAGCGGCCGGGUGGCUCCAGUCACUCCAGAUGCCGGCCUUCCUGGAGCCAUAGAUGCCCACUGGAUUGCACCUCACCUGGACAAAAUAGACGGUCCCGGGUCGGAGGCCUGCCAGCCGGCAUGACGUCUGGUUACCAACAUCAUCCACCACCUGCGAGCACAGGUGGCAAAAGUACACAUUCUUUACUUCCAAGUAGAAGUACAAAGUACAAAUAAUGACUAAUAAUUGCCUCAAAUGCAUUAAAACUAAAGUAACAUGGCUGUUUUGUAGAGUAGAUAGUAGAGAUAUUUGUGUAAAAAUUUAGGGGGUAACAGUAAAAAGUCAGAAAAAUAAAUACUUGAAUAAAGUACAGAUACCUGAAAGUACAAUAAAGUAUUUGUACCUCUGCCUGUGAGAGGGAACAAAAUGACAGAGGAUGUAAUAAAAAAAACUCCUAAAACUAAACAGAA